CGACCGGCGAGGGGGGCACUGAGACAAAAGAAGGGGCCCCAGCGUGGGGCUGGGCCCGAGAGAAGAGCGGGGCGCCCCCGGGGGAGGCAAGGCGGGCGCCAAGGCCUAGAGUCAGGGGGUCGUGGCCGGGCGGAGAGGGCCAGAGGAACUGUAGAGGGGCUGUGGGACAGUGGGGGACACAGGCUCCCCAGCCUACGCUGCCAGGACUGCGGUGGGGCUGGAGAAAGAAGCUGAGGCGCUGAAGCUGGGGGAGGUGGAGUGGGACUUGGAGGCUCGAGGAGGGAACACACCGGAGCGCAGGGUAUGUGGGGGACUUGAAGAAGGUAAGGACUUUGCGGGGUCCGGAAAGGAGAUGAUGGUGUCUGGUGCGAGAAAGGAAAUGAAGAUGGCUCCAGGGGAAAGCAUGGCAAGGGGUGAUCCAGACUUGGAGGAGACACGAAGGCCCCUAACACCCGGACUAGCUUUGGCAGAAUGUAAAGGAGAGCAAGAACCAGAAACAAACAAACAAAAA